rnacentral:lncRNA from 1 species
AGAAAGGUGCUGCUACACUGAGAUCGACUAGCACUCUCAGGGACUGUCAAAGCAAGGGAUUUUUCCCAUGGAGCAUGUGGAUGACCCGGUGAAACCCUAUCAUGAGGUUGUCUUAAAUCUUGGCCAAGAUCACUGCCGGAGAGGUGUUUGUUUUAUACUCUGCAUAUGAAUCCCUUGUUGGACCUACAUGCUGCAGAUAUCUUCUACUACUCUGGAAGUAACUUUUUCACCUUGCUUUAGAAAAAACAAAAACUUCAGUCAGAGGGCAAUUAGAGGGGCUGCUGAAUGGGAAUAGUUCAAUUCUCUCAAUUCUCCUGUCCCAUUAGCACAAUUACCCACUGGAUUUUUUUCUUCUUUUGGAAAAUCUCAGUGCUGGUUGAACAAGCUAUAGUUUUGCUAUUACAACACAAAUAAUAAUUCCCCAACUGCUCAGUAUUUUCUUCUAUCUUUAGUUAAUCUGAGUGUCUAUCACCUAUGCUUUCUUACUUAACCUUUUUGAGCUCAGUUUUGUUAUUGGUACAAAAAUGAAUAAUGUACUUACCUCAUAUGGUUGUUGUGAGAAU